AUCGAUGAAGAACGCAGCGAAAUGCGAUAAGUAAUGUGAAUUGCAGAAUUCAGUGAAUCAUCGAAUCUUUGAACGCACAUUGCGCCCUCUGGUAUUCCGGAGGGCAUGCCUGUUUGAGUGUCAUUAAUCUCUCACAUUUCCCAAUUGUGUUUUUAAAACCGUUUGGGCAAUGUUGGUGUUGGGAGUUGCGAUCGCCCGUUAAACGGCGAACGCUCUCCUCAAAUGUACUGCUGCGGCCUGUUUGCCUUGUCAUACACAACGUUCUAGGUUCGUCCAACUCGUUGAAGACUAGUCGCUUACAUCUGUGCUGCAGCUAAAGCCCGCCUUGUCGCCUCGAGCACUUGUGCACUUUCAUUUAUUGACCUCAGAUCAGGUAGGAAUACGCGCUGAACUUAAGCAUAUCAAUAAGCGCAGGAAAAGAAACUAACUAGGAUGCCUUCAGUAACGGCGAGCGAAGCAGGCAUAGCUCAAAUUUGUAAUCUGGCGUCUUUGACGUCCGAGUUGUAUUUUCUAGAAGCGAGUUCGGUGACAGCUCCUACCCAAGUCCGUUGGAACGCGGCGUCAUGGAGGGUGAGAAUCCCGUGAAUGGUAGGAUGUCUGCUGCUAUGUGAACCGCCUUCGAAGAGUCGAGUUGUUUGGGAAUGCAGCUCUAAAUGGGAGGUAAAUUUCUUCUAAAGCUAAAUAUUGGCCAGAGACCGAUAGCGAACAAGUAGAGUGAUCGAAAGAUGAAAAGAACUUUGAAAAGAGAGUUAAACAGUACGUGAAAUUGUUGAAAGGGAAGCGCUUGAGAUCAGACUUCCUGUCUAAACUGUCCUUGCUUCUGCUUGGGUUCACAGUUUAGGCGUGGAGGCCAGCAUCAGUUUUGACGGCUGGAUAAAGACUUUGGGAAGGUAGCUCCUCUCGGGGAGUGUUAUAGCCCAGAGUGUAAUACAGCCAGUUGGGACUGAGGACCGCGGUUUAUACCUAGGAUGCUGGCGUAAUGGUCUUAAGCGACCCGUCUUGAAACACGG
rnacentral:rRNA from 1 species